CUUAUAAAAAUACAAAGUAGCUCUUUCCCAUCUUGCAAGAUGGCAGGUGAAAAAGCUGAGAAGCCAGAUACUAAAGAGAAGAAACCCGGAGCCAAGAAGGCUGAUGCUGGUGGCAAGGUAAAAAAAGGGUAACCUUAAGGCUAAGAAGCCCAAGAAGGGGAAGCCCCAUUGCAGCCGCAACCCUGUCCUUGUCAGAGGAAUUGGCAGGUAUUCCCGAUCUGCCAUGUAUUCCAGAAAGGCCAUGUACAAGAGGAAGUACUUAGCCGCUAAAUCCAAGGUUGAAAAGAAAAAGGAGAAGGUUCUUGCAACUCUUACAAAACCAGUUGGUGGGAACAAGAACGGCGGUACCCGGGUGGUUAAACUUCGCAAAAUGCCUAGAUACUAUCCUACUGAAGAUGUGCCUCGAAAGCUGUUGAGCCACAGCAAAAAACCCUUCAGUCAGCACGUGAGAAAACUGCGAGCCAGCAUUACCCCCGGGACCAUUCUGAUCAUCCUCACUGGACGCCACAGGGGCAAGAGGGUGGUCUUCCUGAAGCAGCUGGCUAGUGGCUUGUUACUUGUGACUGGACCUCUGGUCCUCAAUCAAGUUCCUCUACGAAGAACACACCAGAAAUUUGUCAUUGCCACCUCAACCAAAAUCGGUAUCAGCAAUGUCAAAAUCCCAAAACCUCUUACUGAUGCUUACUUCAAGAAGCAGCAGCUGCGGAAGCCCAGACACCAGGAAGGUGAGAUCUUCGACACAGAAAAAGAGAAAUACGAGAUUACAGAGCAGCGCAAGAUUGAUCAGAAAGCUGUGGACUCACAAAUUCUGCCAAAAAUCAAAGCUGUUCCUCAGCUCCAGGGCUACCUGCGAUCUGUGUUUGCCCUGACGAAACGAAUUUAUCCUCACAAAUUGGUGUUCUAAAUGUCUUAAGAACCUCAUUAAAUAGCUAACUACAAAAAUAAA